rnacentral:rRNA from 1 species
UACGGAGGGAGCUAGCGUUGUUCGGAAUUACUGGGCGUAAAGCGCGCGUAGGCGGCUUUGUAAGUUAGAGGUGAAAGCCCGGGGCUCAACUCCGGAAUUGCCUUUAAAACUGCAUCGCUAGAAUUGUGGAGAGGUAAGUGGAAUUCCGAGUGUAGAGGUGAAAUUCGUAGAUAUUCGGAAGAACACCAGUGGCGAAGGCGACUUACUGGACACAUAUUGACGCUGAGGUGCGAAAGCGUGGGGAGCAAACAGG